AGAGUUUGAUCAUGGCUCAGGAUGAACGCUGGCGGCGUGCCUAACACAUGCAAGUCGAACGCCCCGCAAGGGGAGUGGCAGACGGGUGAGUAACACGUGGGAACGUGCCCGAAGGUUCGGAAAAUUCCCGGGAAACUGGGAGCAAUACCGAAUGUGUCCGCAAGGAGAAAGAUUUAUCGCCUUCGGAUCGGUCCGCGUUUGAUUAGCUAGUUGGUGGGGUUAAAGCCUACUAAGGCGACAAUCCAUAGCUGGUUUGAGAGGACGACCAGCCACACUGGGACUGGGACACGGUCCAGACUUCUACGGGAGGCAGCAGUGGGGAAUCUUGGACAAUGGGCGCAAGCCUGAUCCAGCCAUGCCGCGUGAGUGAUGAAGGCCCUAGGGUUGUAAAACUCUUUCGCCGAGGACGAUAAUGACGGUACUCGGAGAGGAAGCUCCGGCUAACUUCGUGCCAGCAGCCGCGGUAAUACGAAUUGGGCUAGCUUUGUUCGGAUUGACUGGGCGUAAAGCGCGUGUAGGCGGACUCGUAAGUUCCGGGUGAAAUCCCGAGGCUCAACCUGGGAACUGCCUCCAAAACUACAAGUCUGGAGCAAGAUAGAGGCAAGUGGAAUUGCGAGUGUAGAGGUGAAAUUCGUAGAUAUUCGCAGGAACACCAGUGGCGGAGGCGACCUGCUGGAUCUUUGCUGACGCUGAGACGCGAAGGCGUGGGGAGCCAACAGGUUUAGAUACCUUGGUAGUCCACGCUGUAAACGAUGAGAGCUAGGUGUCGGCACGCAUGCGUGUCGGUGACGCAGCUAACGCAUUAAGC
rnacentral:rRNA from 1 species